rnacentral:ncRNA from 1 species
CGUCUAAAACUUCAUAUUUUCUUUCUAAUCAAGAUAAUCUGACUGUCUCUGGAACACGAUAUACAUUUUUAUGCAUAAAACAUAAGGCCAGCUCAGCGAGGACAGAAACCUCGCGUGGAGCAAAAGCUGGCUUGACCCCGAUGUUCAGUACGCAUAGGGACUGCGAAAGCACGGCCUAUCGAUCCUUUUGGCUUGGAGAGUUUCCAGCAAGAGGUGUCAGAAAAGUUACCACACGGAUAACUGGCUUGUGGCGGCCGAGCGUUCAUAGCGACGUCGAUUUUUGAUCCUUCGAUGUUGGGUCUUCCUAUCAUUGCGAAGCAGAGAAAAUACCCCCCAUGACCCUUAUACAAACACAGAAAUAUAUGUAGUGGUUUUAAGGAGACAGAAAGAAAUCGAAGGGUGUUCAAUGUUUCUAAACUUCUUUUCUCCUCUCUGGAAUAUCUGUAAAACAGUGUGAUCCUGCACAUGAUGAAUAUCACCUGGGGUUAUUUGCAUGUGGAGGGGAG